GACGAACGCUGGCGGCGUGCUUAACACAUGCAAGUCGAACGGAAAGGCCCUGCUCUUGUGGGGUGCUCGAGUGGCGAACGGGUGAGUAACACGUGAGUAACCUGCCCUUGACUUUGGGAUAACUUCAGGAAACUGGGGCUAAUACCGGAUAGGAGCUCCUGCUGCAUGGUGGGGGUUGGAAAGUUUCGGCGGUUGGGGAUGGACUCGCGGCUUAUCAGCUUGUUGGUGGGGUAGUGGCUUACCAAGGCUUUGACGGGUAGCCGGCCUGAGAGGGUGACCGGGCACAUUGGGACUGAGAUACGGCCCAGACUCCUACGGGCGGCAGCAGUGGGGAAUAUUGCACAAUGGGCGGAAGCCUGAUGCAGCAACGCCGCGUGCGGGAUGACGGCCUUCGGGUUGUAAACCGCUUUCGCCUGUGACGAAGCGUGAGUGACGGUAAUGGGUAAAGAAGCACCGGCUAACUACGUG
rnacentral:rRNA from 1 species